GCAAAGAGGAACACGGUGGCCUGCCGCUUGGACACACAGUGGGACAUGUUGGUGUGGUGAAGGGCUGACACUCGGAUGAGAUGUAAUUUAUGGCAAGUGUUGUGUGGUCAUAGGACAGUGACAGUGACGCGUCUGCUUAGAAGCACGAGAAUUGCGACCACUUGCCACGAAGAGCGGUAAAUAUAACAUAAAAGGUGAAUUAAUCAUUACUUUGAUUUUAAGGAGCUGCUCUCUUCGAAAUCCAUUGCCCAGUCCCGAUUUGUUCUGUUUCAUUAUGUACAGGAGUGUGUGUUUAUCGAGUACACUCCAAGCUUUUCUACUCAGAAAUGAAUCCAAGCAUCCUGGAACUCAAAUUCUUCUUCAGUGCUUUGUUUUGGAAAAAGUCUUUGGUAUGCUUUUGGGAAACUGGCAGCUAAUCUUUUCAUAGCUAGGGGUCAACAUAACACUCGGUUUUAAUAAAACAAAUAAGACUGGGAUGGAUAUUAAUGAUGAUAUAUACAGAUGUAGUGUGCAUGAGCUUGAAUUAUGUGUGAGAGCAUGCAGAAGGAGAGACACUCUCACACAUUUGUGUGUUUACUUGCCUGUGUGUGUGUGUGCGGCCGUGAGAUAGCCGAGUCAGUUUCCCUCAGAUGUUGCCUUUAACCUUUAACCCCAGAGCUGAGGUCAAGCCCUGACAAAUGAGAUGGUCGAGUUCUGGCCAGAUCUGCAAACAUUCCACAACAAUCUUCUGUCCUCCUCCUCUCCUCUCCUCUCCUCUCCUCAUAUCCGUCAUUCCUCACCCCUUCACUCCUCUCAGUGUGUCUCUUCUACGGCUUCGAGAGCGAGUCAAAGAAUGUUCUCACUGCACACAAACAUGUUUUAUUGUAUUUGCUGUGGGAAUCUUAAAGCACACACACCCUUCAAAUUAAGAAUUACAGCACUGGUUAAAUUUAAUACCUCUGACAUCUGCCGUGUUUACAGAAGGAAGGAAAACAAAAGAGUAUGAUCUGAGAGGAGAAGCUGCGGUAAAGAUUUGGAUAUUACAACCGUGCACUUUGAAAGCACACUGUGUGUGUUUGGAAAGUCUGUCAGUGAUGUCAAGGAUGAGAAAUGUUGCAGUGUGGUUUUUUACACACGCUGCUGGCUCUAGCAUUUCCGGCAACAUUUCUCACACUGCCUCCCUCACACCAUCCGCUCUGCUGCAAUAUCCCCACAUUUUUCCAUCCUUUCGAUUUUUCCCCCUCCCCUCCACUCCUCGUUUUCCAUCCCUUUACUCCCUUUACCCUUCCUCUUUGCUGCCCCACCCACUCCUAAUCUCAACCUCUCCCUUCCUUCUUCCUUCACCCUCCACAUUCACCCCCCUCCUUUUAUUCCUCCGCCCACAAUAUUUUUUCAGAUUUCUUUCUAACAUGCCGUUCCUCAGAAUGCUACCACCUGUGUCUUGAGGAAGAAAGGAGCCAACCACCCGCAUUCCUUUUACCAGGAGCUGGUAAAGAGUCACCAUCGAUGACUGUGCAGCCACAAUUGUUGCAAAGGAGCCUCGAGACCAACAAAGCUGGCUGAGACAGUAGCGCCGAAUGGAUCACGCUCUUGAAUUUGAUUUCAUAAUGAUGUAAGAUUACUAAGAGGCAAUGCAACACAGCAAAGAUCUUAAUAAAAAACACAUCAAUCUUGA